UUAUGCCCCUGCGUGGAGUUGCUGGACAGGAAGGUCAAGCGGUAUCUACUAGCUAGCUAGCUAGCUUAAAGCAGAACAGUUACUAGGGUUGCCCUGGAGGUUCCAGGAAUCUUCUUCAACCACCAGGGAAGAAGCUACGAGCCCACAAAGGAAGGCAGCUAGUCUGUCACAAAAUAUCAGCAAAAAGAGAUUCCAUAUAUCAGACUCUUUAAAAGCAGUUCAGGAAUGGAUUUUGAAAUGGGAAUAACUGCAUUGCUGAACAGUUUCGGUUGAACAAUGGUGUGACAUGAAUAAUCACUGAGAAAGGAAUUGUUUUAUCAGUGACAACCAGACCAGGAAGAACCCACCUGAAGUAACAGAGAAGAAAGGCCUAUUCACACAUUAUAUUCCAUGCUUAUACAAGUGUACAGUGUACACAGGUACAGAUCUUUACACAGG